rnacentral:lncRNA from 1 species
UUGAGUGAAAACAUUUGCUGUCAACAGCCAGUUCCACUGUACUAAGCCAGUCUAACAGAUGUGCACUCACCCAAAGACUUAUGCAGCUGCUACUGCUGCCGCUGUGUGUGUGUGUGUGUGUGUGUGUGUGUGUGUGCGUGCGUGCGUGCGUGCGUGUGUGUGUGUGUGUGUGUGUGUGUGUGUGUGUCUGUUUACGCACAGUUCAGCAGGGUUUAUGGGUAUGAGAGCAUGUGCGCUUUCAUAACUUAAAAAAAAAAUCACCAUAAAUAAACACCCCCCCCCUCCACAAAUCUGUUCUCAUUAGAUUUGAUGUUGAUUGCAUUACGCAUAUGAACACAUUCUUGGCCAUUGUCCGCAUCCCCUGGGCCGAGUGGAGCCUCGCGUUGGACCGUGCCGGGCCUGGCCUCCGGAACCCUCUUUGCCCUGGGAGAUGGAUUCAAGGGGCCGGGGGGGCAUCGUGCAGCCCGGUUUAGCCUCUCAUUCUGGUUCAGGGCACCUGGGUGGAUGCCCCACCCCCCUCCCCCGGGGCCGGGGGGACGAGCCAGGCUCCACCGCCGGCUGUUUGUUUCACCAGCAUCCCAAAAGACGAGAGCUACUUCAACACUUGCCAAGAUGACAACGGUUGCCCAAAUGUUCCAUUUGAUGUUUCGAGCCUCAAGAGCAAGUGGGAGAGAACGAGUGAUACAGGGGGGAGAGAAACCCAGGGAAACGGAGAGGGAAUAAACGGCAAUGAGAGAGCGGGAGGGGAGGGGAGGGGAGGGGGGAGAGGGGAGAGGAGACUGAAAGCAAAUGAGAAUGAGAGGAGUGGAAAAGAACAUUAGCUGGAGAGGUUGCCAAGUUCAAGAUCUGCCAGCCUGAGGUGUGUGCAGUCCCGGGUGUUGUAGUGAGGGAGAGAGGGAGGAGGGGUGAGGCAGUGGGUGUCAGGUAUGUCUCUCCUUCCAUCCCAGCGCUCCAUCGCGCGCCUUUCUGCUCCAGCUGCUGCUCGCCCGGAUAACAAAUCAUUCCCUACAGCGCCUUCUGGUAACCUCGUCAUUCCCCGCUAAUAACAUUUGGAGAUGCUAAGCUUGUAAAUUAGCGAAUCUGGACCGAGGAGAUAUUAUUUAUGCUUGUCUCCCAUCCUGAAAGACUUGUCUUGAUGGGUAAAUUGUGUUUAAUUCUUGGAGGAAGACGUUUUUUUUCUGUGCCCCAGCAUGAGAUGAGAUUAAUCCCUUGACAACCUUUGCGGGCGCACUUCAAAAUUGCUCCCAAAUGUCACCGAUGCCGCCGCCGCCGAGAUUUGCAAAGAGGGUGGAAACAGGGAGAGAAACAAGCACCGUGCAGAAAUGGGGACACAUCCGAUGCGCGUGACCCCCCCCCCCCCCCCCCCCCCCCCCCAAACACACUCACUCACACACUUCUUACACAAGUGUGUUUUAUUCCCCUUCUUAGCAUUCAGGAAAAAAAUGGAAAAUAAACAUAAGACACACACAUAAACUCGAGGCA